rnacentral:rRNA from 1 species
AGAGUUUGAUCCUGGCUCAGGACGAACGCUGGCGGCGUGCCUAAUACAUGCAAGUCGAGCGAGCGGAACUAACAGAUUUACUUCGGUAAUGACGUUAGGAAAGCGAGCGGCGGAUGGGUGAGUAACAUGUGGGGAACCUGCCCCAUAGUCUGGGAUACCACUUGGAAACAGGUGCUGAUACCGG